UAGAUACCCUGGUAGUCCACGCUGUAAACGAUGUCGAUUUGGAGGUUGUGCCCUUGAGGCGUGGCUUCCGGAGCUAACGCGUUAAAUCGACCGCCUGGGGAGUACGGCCGCAAGGUUAAAACUCAAAUGAAUUGACGGGGGCCCGCACAAGCGGUGGAGCAUGUGGUUUAAUUCGAUGCAACGCGAAGAACCUUACCUACUCUUGACAUCCAGAGAACUUUCCAGAGAUGGAUUGGUGCCUUCGGGAACUCUGAGACAGGUGCUGCAUGGCUGUCGUCAGCUCGUGUUGUGAAAUGUUGGGUUAAGUCCCGCAACGAGCGCAACCCUUAUCCUUUGUUGCCAGCGGUUCGGCCGGGAACUCAAAGGAGACUGCCAGUGAUAAACUGGAGGAAGGUGGGGAUGACGUCAAGUCAUCAUGGCCCUUACGAGUAGGGCUACACACGUGCUACAAUGGCAUAUACAAAGAGAAGCGACCUCGCGAGAGCAAGCGGACCUCAUAAAGUAUGUCGUAGUCCGGAUUGGAGUCUGCAACUCGACUCCAUGAAGUCGGAAUCGCUAGUAAUCGUAGAUCAGAAUGCUACGGUGAAUACGUUCCCGGGCCUUGUACACACCGCCCGUCACACCAUGGGAGUGGGUUGCAAAAGAAGUAGGUAGCUUAACCUUCGGGAGGGCGCUUACCACUUUGUGAUUCAUGACUGGGGU
rnacentral:rRNA from 1 species